rnacentral:rRNA from 1 species
UACGGGGGGGGCAAGCGUUGUUCGGAAUUACUGGGCGUAAAGGGCCAGUAGGCGGCCAACUAAGUCGGAUGUGAAAUCCCCAGGCUUAACCUGGGAACUGCAUCCGAUACUGGAUGGCUUGAAUUCGGGAGAGGGAUGCAGAAUUCCAGGUGUAGCGGUGAAAUGCGUAGAUAUCUGGAGGAACACCGGUGGCGAAGGCGGCAUCCUGGACCAAUACUGACGCUGAGGAGCGAAAGCCAGGGGAGCAAACGGG